CUUGACCGAGCCCAGCCACAACGGGUCGGCCCGGUCACGGCCUUGCCCGUAGGUGGCCAGUACGGCACCCGCCUC
rnacentral:antisense_RNA from 1 species